UGACAGCUUAAGGCUUAGGUAGGAGGUAUGAAUCAUUGCCUGAAAGCUGGGAGACACUAGGUUCAUGUGAAUUGCACGGGGUGAAGUGGGGACAGCAACAGGUUCCUAGACAGAACUGCAGCAGUGUCAGAAAGCAAAACUGGAGAAGCUGGGUCAGAGAAGAUUGGAGUCGGGGAAAGGAUGCCAAAAAUACCCAGUUUUCUAACUUUUAAGGCAUUUCAGUUCAGCUGUGUAGACACAUAGGGACAGGUUAUGUCAAAGAAAAUUAUCUAGUAGAUGAGGUAGUAAUCUACCAUGGCCAUGGAGAUGUUAGGUGAUGUUAGGUGAUGCAAAAAUAUGAGAAGAAUGUGACCUGGAAUAUAUGCAUCAAAGGAUUGCACUCUACUGCUUGCUAUAGAACACACACAUUAAAGACCUUUAUUUUUUAAAGAAGUUGCACAGCAUCAAAAAAAUAUCAGGAGAAAAGAAAAGAAACCAGGGAAAAAGGAAAGGGAAUGGAAGAGGAGCUUUCCUGGCAGAACAGAAAACAUCUUUAUACAUAACCAAUACACAACGGCCCAACUUCCUUGGUUCUGGUGAAUAAAUGUCCUUGCUGAAGUUAUCCACCAAGGUUAAUGAAACAUUAUGAAAGGUAGUCAAGGAGAAAAAAAAUUGUAUCCAUUCAAGUGUAUAUGAAUUUCACAGUAUUUUCGUGCCUGUCACUUCUAAUUAUACUCAUCAAUGCUUAUUUAUUUUUCAGCUAAGACAAUGACAAGCUCAGAUUGCUUUCUUUCUCCAGCUCUGUUAGCUGAGUUCAUCAGUAAAAACUUGUUUUCUAGAUAAAAUUUCUAUAUCCUAACCCAGAGACUCAUAUAUCAUUUUCUAUUCUGACAGUAAAUGAAUUACUGGAUUGGAUAGGUCUUUCUAAUACUGGCACUGGUUUCCUCUUUCAUUGCUUUAAGUUUUCUGUUUGCCUGGAUCUGUUCUGUACAAUGGAUCAAAUGCUAAGCUUGGGCAAAUUGACAAAGCCAUAGAUUUCUAUCCAUGGGUUUGCGGUAAUCAAGCUCCACAGUAUUUUAAAAUGCCACAUAUCUUCAUGACAAUUAGUUUGGGAAAGUACAAAAUUGGAAAUACUGGAGCAGCUACUAACCUCUGAAUAACACCACUACUGAUGUGAAUUUAUGACUCCAUAAGGGCCCAUCACAACAAUAAAACUACUGAUUGUUGAUGUGUUAAUCGAGGAUUGGAUUACCAAGAGCUUCAGCUGCUUCAUGACGGCUCCAUUUUAAAUAAUGAAUUCGUUGCCUUCGGCUUCUACAGAGGGAAAUAUGUUAUGUCAGUAGAAGUAAAUAUUCAGAAAACUUACAUUCAGGCAUUCUAAAAACUUUUGUCUGAAAUACUCACGUCAGGCAACUGUGCCAUAUAUUCUUACAGUUUACAUGUCUGUGUGAAUGUUUUACGUACUGGGGGCAGGCACACAAAACUCAUUAUUUUAGGACUGAAAAACACUGGCUUCAAGACUGUUGUACCAACAUAAGGCAGGGGAUAUCUGUAUUUAGUUGUACUUUGUUUAUCUACUUUUUGUUCUGUUACAUCUGGACAGAGUGAAGCUUCAUUUAUUUCAAAUUAUUAACGAAUCAUUUUUAUAAACUUGUAUUUGGGGAGGGACUUUUUAUUUAUUCACUGGAAUUCCAACCAGUUCCAUGAUGCUACCAGUUCAAAACCUACUUUUGACAAGAAAAGCUUUUUCAAAGGAAAGGUGUGCAGAAAUGCAGUGAGAUUAUCAGAGCUUACGCUUACUAUGUAUUCAGUGAAUUAUAGUAAAUAAUAAUAUCCUUAUCCUAUCAGAGUUUCUAAAUGGACAUAGGUUAAAAUGAGAGGAUCUAUUCUGCAUUAUUCCAAUGAGGAUUAAUCCCCAGCCUGAAUAAGGCAGAGCCCUAAAAUGACUACCUGUUUCUGAUUUGCCAAGCAAAUGCCCUACAUACUUCUUGUUCUCCAUGGGUCUUUUACUUCUUCUGAUCUUUUACUUCAGUUCUCCUACUCUUCAAAGGUUUUACUUACAUUCUGAUGAGAAAAAGGAAUGUUUUUAGUGUCUUAAGAAGGCUGUGGGUUGAAAUUGUGAUUUCAUGGGCCUCUCAGAAAUGCUGAAACUUUAAAAAUGAUAUUCUUUUCUUACAUCCUUUAAUCAGUUUAAUACUGCCUAUAAAUGCUUUCAGACAAAAAAUGUCAUGAUCCUUACUUGCAGAAAUUUAACUCUCAUCACUUGCCACAGAAGCUUUCAUUUUAUUACUGAUAUGUGUGUUAUUUUAUAAUGAAAAUAUUGUACAGCAUUGCAAACGUGAGCCCCAGUGAAGCAGUGUGCUCAGUUAGACAGUCUAUCUCAAAUCAUUGGCUGUAUCUGUGCUCUCCUGCUACAUGGCAUGUGGCAGCACUCUGCAGGUCACAUUCCUCAAAUGUUUACAUUGCUUAGUUGGAGGCUUUUUCUGGGCCAUGCUCGUGGAAAAACAUGGGGGAAAUGCCAAAAAUUCAUAACCCUUACCAUGCCCUGCAUAGUUCAGGCAAACCACAUCACUGCUGUGCUCCAGUGCUCCAGCACAGAUUCCCCAAAGCCAUUGACAAUGACUGUCCUGAGGCAAAGGAAGCUAGCUGAGUGAUUGAGUCAGACAAAACUGAAUCAAGGUACCUGCAACACAACUAAAGAUGGGAGAGAAAGCAUGGUUGUCUCAACAAGAGAUGGAUAAGGUGAGGAUGUGAGGUACUUCAGAGGAACUUGACUCCUUGCACGCCAUCAGAAAGAAGAAGAAUAGAGAGGAGCAGGAGAAAGAAGGGAAGGAGGUGGAGGACAAAAACCUCUCCAGAGAAGGUGAUGAUGAUUAAACAUUCUAUACCUUCAUAUGACUUAAGGCUGACCUCCAUUUUCAUGGAUAAACAAACAGUGACCUCAUUCAGGGCUACAGAAUCAACCCUGCCAUACCCUUCUUUUUCCACAAACAUCCCACAUGCUGGGGAGUCACAUCUGAGCACAGUCAUCAGUGAUGUUCUCCCACUCCACAGGAAAAUCAGCCUGAUUGUCUCCAACUGGUUGUUGGUCGCUGUCUAUGGUUAUGUUGGCAGUGCACGUCCAGCUUCUCCCAUGAAGACUGGUUUUGAGCCUUGUGGGAAUCCCAGAGGUGAGCUGUCAAUACUGAUGUCCUUGGAGAUCUGCCUGGACCCAACCGCGGCUCAAUCAGGCCCCUCCACACCUGGAAGAAGCCACCCAAGCAUUACAUGAUCCCCAGACAGCCCCUGUCAUUCCAUUAUAGAGAAGCCUAGCACUAUGUGCAAAGAAAAACAGAGCUGCCAGGUCAUAUCAAGGAGGUGACCAGGCCUUGUGCAGCUGUUGUUAAAG
ensembl:lncRNA